CUCCCAUGGCGUCCCUCCUCUGCCCUGCCGCCGCCGCCUCCUACUCCUCCCUACUCUCCUCCUCCUUCCCCUCCAGGCGGCGGCCCCAGCCCAGCGCCCCACUGGCGUCUCCCGCCCCGUCGUCUCCUCCCCGCCCUCGCUCCGUCGCCGCGGCCGCCGCCUACGGUUACGGCGGCGACGUGCUGAUGAGGCCCUUCGACACGCAGACGCUCCUCAUCUCCGCCGCCGUCGUCUCCGCCGUCUCCCUCUCCCUCGUCCUCGGCCUCAAGGUUGUCGCCCGCUCGCUCGCGCUGUCUGCUCUGAAUUUUCUCUCUCUCUAUAUAUAUACUAUAUCGUUAGCCAAACCAUGUGCUUUGCUGCAAUUUUUCUUUUUCUUUUCGUGUUUGUUUGUUUGUUUCAGGGUGAUCCGGUGCCGUGCGAAAGGUGCGCCGGGAAUGGAGGCACAAAGUGUGUCUUUUGCAACGACGGCAAGAUGAAGGUUGAAAAUGGAGUAGUCGAGUGCCGUGUAUGCAAAGGAGCAGGGUUAAUACUAUGCAAGAAGUGUUCAGGUUCUGGUUACUCUAGGCGCUUGUAGCCAGUGCCACUGAACAUUUCUUUCCUUUUUGUUAACUAUGGACGACAGGGUGAUAGCUUGCAUCUGAUUAUCUGAAACAAGCUUUGUACAGAUGAAUGGAGAAAUCUUCUAUGUCUCGAGUUUUAGAGUACUUCUACACCAGAGAAAAAUAAAAGAAAAAUCAGGGUUCUAGUUUCAAGGGACAAUCAGGAGACAGCCAAUCCAAGCUGCAUGUGACGCCGAUGCGGUGCGGCAGCUGAAUCUUUCAAUACACAAACGGUGUUGUGUUCGUACUAAUUUUCUCCUUUUUCUUUUUAGUGUGUUAUAUAAAAAGGGAAGACAUGUACUACAAGCUGACUGAUCAUUUUGUUUAUUAGGCUGUGUUUAGAUUUCAACUUUUUUCUUCAAACUUUUAACUUUUCUGUCAUAUCAAAUAUUUGGACACAUGUAUGUAUAAGAGCAUCAAGUAUAGAUAAAAAGAAAAACUAAUUGCACA